AAACGUAACCAGACAUGUAUGUCUUUGCUAACUAGGGAAAACUGCCCACGACACACGAUUGAGAGCAUGUUACUGGUGUCGAAGUACCAAUUAAGGCCGGCCUUCUCUCUGGACCCAAAGACACUUAACGGGACAACUGACUUUCUGAAUGGCUGCCCUGAGUCCAAAACAAGGCUUAUGGAAAAAUAAUACCAAAAUCACAGAAGAAGGAUACAAAAUUUAAUGACCUCUAUUUUUGAGGGCAAGUGUGGAGAUUGGUGAUUUGCUGGAUGUUUUUUUUUUUAUAAAAAAUACUUUCCAAAUUUUCUGCAUGGAACAUGUGUUACUCGUGUAACAUUCAAAGGUGAAAGACCUAGGCAAAGAAACUGCAUUCACAAGGAUCCCACUUUGGGAACUCGCAAGUGUCGGGAAGGGGCCACAGCGGAGAAGCCUCGUUCCUAACUCACGCCAGUCACCUCACUUAUCCAAUGCAGGAGACAACGCAUCCCAAGUAAACAGCAUUCAUCGCUCGGCACAGUAACUACUGUGCCCCAGCCUCGCAGCACAAUGGCACAGUGAUUGUGGCUGUGACAGCAAGAUCCCGACUAAGAACACAAUCAGCAUCUAUUGCAAGAAAGAAUGCUCGACAUUGUCCUUUGGUGUGGAGGGUUUUAAGAAGAGGGAGGAGAAUCAUCACGGGGGCAAGCUAACAAAACAACAACGUGAGACCAGGGCUGGAGGCUGUGGUGGGGGAGGAGAGGGGAGAGGGGCGGAAGACAUGACAUCCUAUUUGUUCUUCACUACAGAGCUGAAGGAUUACAUGAAUUUUAACAGGAAGCAUUUAUUAUGGUGGGUUUUUUAGUUUUUGAGGAAAAUUCUACACCCCAGUGUGGCGCUUGAACCCACACCCCAAGAUCAAGAGCCGCAUGGUCUACUGAGCAAGCCAGCCAGAUGCCCCCCAGGAAGCAACCUUAUAGAGCAUAAAACAAAAGAAACUUCGAAAGGGCAAUUUUAUCUUUUUCAGUCAAUUAAUUUAAUGGACUUUUCAUAUGAGGAUGGUAAGUUAUUUGAGAGGCUCAGUGACAAUUGCAAUGACCCUAAAAACGCAGUAUGGCAAUGUUGCUAAAAGAGAAAACGGGUAAUGAAGUUCUGAACAACAGUUACGUUUCCCUACUUUGCUCCACUGCAAAGUUCUACCUGUAAACGAAGCGCUUCUCAAACUUGGAGGUGGCGUGGACUCCGUAACGUUUUGUUCUACUCCAAGCCCUCUAAUAGCAGGGCUGGGCCCAAACACCAGGACACACUGAAGGUGUUCAUUCCCAAAUCCCUUAAGCUGGACUGCCUCCCAGGACACUUUUUCCGCAUGCUCUCUGUAGUCCUACUGCAACUUCCUGAUCGAGAUGUUGGCCACCUCACACCAGAUGGACACCAUCUACUCCUCAACGAACCCGUAGCCACCGCCACCGGCCAGCCUGCUCUGAACACCGACCACAGCUGUGUCCACCGGAUACUACUGAAACUAUUACUCUCUUCCACUAAAGGGCCGCAGUGGCUCUUCACAGCACACGGGAUCUGGAAGGCCCUCAGGAUCAUCUCGCCAGGACCCUCCCCCCCACGCUGGGCCCUCCUGCCCACCUCUAGCGUUUCCAGCUCCCUUGCUAACACACUCGGACAGCAAAACCUUCUAUGUUACCUCCCUCCUCUAACAAGCGUCUUCUGCUGAAGUAGAUCCGAUGAGGUACUAAUGUGUGGACUGGUCCCUCAUCUUUCUGCCAAAAUAGUGUCUA